UGGGGAAUAUUGGACAAUGGGCGAAAGCCUGAUCCAGCCAUGCCGCGUGUGUGAAGAAGGUCUUCGGAUUGUAAAGCACUUUAAGUUGGGAGGAAGGGCAGUAAGCGAAUACCUUGCUGUUUUGACGUUACCGACAGAAUAAGCACCGGCUAACUCUGUGCCAGCAGCCGCGGUAAUACAGAGGGUGCAAGCGUUAAUCGGAUUUACUGGGCGUAAAGCGUGCGUAGGCGGCUAAUUGAGUCGGAUGUGAAAUCCCCGAGCUUAACUUGGGAAUUGCAUUCGAUACUGGUUAGCUAGAGUGUGGGAGAGGAUGGUAGAAUUCCAGGUGUAGCGGUGAAAUGCGUAGAGAUCUGGAGGAAUACCGAUGGCGAAGGCAGCCAUCUGGCCUAACACUGACGCUGAGGUAUGAAAGCAUGGGGAGCAAACAGG
rnacentral:rRNA from 1 species